UGCUUAUCUAAAAAAACCACUCAUUCAAAAUUUAUUUUCUGUUCAUUUUUCUUCCUCCCAUCUUCUGAUCAUAUACAUCGGCAACUUACUCUUCUCAAUACUCUAAGCAAAUCAAGACAUACGUUACUGAGGUUACCAAAAAAUUAAAUAUGGAUAAUGAUCGAGGUUGGAUGUAUCAAAGGAUCGAUAGUAGAGGAUUCUUAACUCCGGCUUUUGUAAAUGGGUUGGAAAAUUUUAUGCAAUAUGUUAUAUCUCGAGAAGAGUCCAUGGAUGGGACAAACAUGUUCAAACAAAACAUAGAAAAGUUCCCAGAAACGAUCCUGGUGGAGGUGAGGAGAGUUUUGGGGGAAACAUUUCUAUAUUUUCUCAUCCUGGACGUUCACAUGGGAGUGUUAGUACUCGUUAUCUUGAUGAUCGAGAAUACAUGGCGGUUCACAACUAUAUCUUGUUUAACUGUCCAGAGGUUGCACCAUAUACCGAGAUUUUCAUAAAUCAACUUCGGGAACAUAAUCCACAUGUAACUAGUACUGAAGUUGAUCAGUGCUUAGAAAGUGAUUUUGCAGUGUGGUUUAAAGAUUAUGCUGAAGAUCCAUCAUUGGUUCCAAAUGAAUAUAUUCGGGAUAUUUCAUUUGGACCUCUUCGUUCGGUUAAGUCAGUACCAAUUCACUAUGUGAAUGGGUACAAAUUUCACACACGGGAGUAUGGGGCUGAUAGGUCAACGUUCAACAGUGGAGUAUGCAUCAAGGGUUCGAAUUUAUUGUGAAGAAAAUGGAUCUUCAAGAACCGAAGAUAGUAAUAAUUGUGAAGAUGAAUAUAUUGAUUCUUCCGAAUAAUCCCUUUUAGUUAUCAAGGUAAACAGAGGAUUGGGGUUGGAGACACAAACAAACUAGGGUUUUUCUCUGCUUGUAAGGAGGCGGCGACUAAGAGUCUGAAUCGAGCGGUGAAUGACAUCGAAUGAAGAUGAAGAAAUUGGCAAUUAUUUUAUCUCCCAUGACUAAUGAUGGAAGCCCUGAUGAAGAGGGUAAUGGUGCUAAAGGUGUUGGUUUUUCUCAAUAUGCGAGUCCAAAGAAACGCAGCGGGGUUGCAACUGAUGGGGGUGUACAAGACUGUGAUGAUGGUUUUGCUAAGAUUGUGAAAAAAAGAAAAGGCGUCCGGAGUGCAAAUAUUGGAAAGGAGGAUGGUUUUGCUCCUAAUAGUCAAGUCACUAAAAAACCCAUUGAAAACAACACUACUAUACAUACAACUCAGACACAUCACAGAAUGAGGAGGAUGGCGAGGACUCCGGUUACGAAAGGAUAUGGGUUGACAAAAAAAGCCAACAAACAUAUGAAACAUUCCUGACACUUUGUGAGCUUCAUGAGAAAGCGGGAGAGCCGGUUGAUAAAAAUGCAAUAUUUCUUCAGGCAGCAGGAGGGGUUGACAAGAAAAAGAGGGUGUAUGGAGUUGGUUCUUCGCAAAGUCUCUUCUAUAGGUCAAAGACUAUUCCUUGCAGUUCAUCUUUUGCCGAUGCAGAAAAACAAAAAUUGCAGGAGGAGUUAAAAGUGAUGAAGGAGAAAAUGCUUUUGGAUAUAUUACUUUUGCUUACUAUCGGACGGGUUGAAAUAUUAGUACAACUCUCAUCCUAUUUUGGAUCAAUGAAGUGUUAAUUGUAUGAAAAAGUGUUGUGUUUUAUUUAGAUUUGCAUUUUUAUAGAUAUAGAAAUUGAGAAAUUUAUACUGUAAUAUAAUACCAUAAAUUUUAAUUUUAUAACGAAUUUAUGUCGGAUGUUUGGUUAA